GCCAGCAUGGCAUAGUGGUUUGAGUGUUAGACUAGGACUCUGGAGAUAAGGGUUUGAAUCCUAGCUUGGCC